rnacentral:rRNA from 1 species
AUGGUCGAAGGCUCGGAGAUGGACAUCACCAACCUCAAGUUCCUCCUCCUGUGCUUCCAACAGAUGUCAGGCCUCAAGAUCAAAUUCGAUAAGAGCGAUGUUAUGGUGAUGGGAUACUCUCCUGAUGAGUCUGUGGCCAUUGCCAAUAGACUCAAUUGCCGCCUGGGCUCAUUCCCCACUACCUACCUUGGGACGCCCAUCAGUGACUCGCGCCUCUUGGCCGCCGAUCUUCGCCCCUACGUGACCAAGCUCCAGACUAGGUGCGAGCCCUGGCAGGGGAGGUGGCUUUCCAAGGCGGCCCGGACCAUUCUUAUCAACUCCUCCCUCUCCAGCCUCCUCUUAUUUCUUAUGAGUUUCUACAGCCUCCACGAAUCUCUCCAUAAGGAGAUCGCCAAAAUCCAGUCUCGAUUCUAUUGGGCUGGCGAGCACGGCAAGCAGAAGUAUCACAUGGUCAGCUGGCCUGACAUCUGCAAGCCUAGGGAGCAGGGUGGAUUGGGAAUCAUGUGCUCUAAGCGGAUGAAUAUUGCCCUCCUAUCCCGGUGGCUGUGGCGCAUCAUGCAGGGUCAUGGUGGCCUUUGGCUG